CUACAAAGGGAAGCACUUUCUCUUGUCCAAAGGAAAAGAAGGCGCUUCCCUUUGGAGUG
rnacentral:pre_miRNA from 1 species